AUGGCAGCAGAACCUUUUGCAAGUUCAGAAGAAUUAGAUUUCUUUAAUGGUAACCUGCAGGAAAUACAUUAAAAACACAUUCUAUCAGUUACAAAUCUUAAUGUCACCAGCCAAGGAUGAGGGAAUUAAUGCCGGGCCCAAAAAUACAUAUAGUCAGCAACUCCGGGGCAAGGGCAGAGACAAUUUAUAGAGUGCGAGGUCUGGACGUCUGGAGCAGGCAGGCUGAGCUCAGCGGUGAAAUGGAAACAGGGCUGUUUUCAGAUGGAGCAGAGCAGGGGGAAGCUGCUCAGGGUGGCUUUGAUUCAAUCAUUGUUUCCCAUUUCUUAAUGUAAAUUACUUUUUUUAAUGCUAUGAAAGCCAGGUUCCGGUCUGUCACGAGAAGACUGUUUUCAUUAAGAUAAGCGCCUAUCAAGGGCAUUUUUAAAAGAAUCAAUCCCCAAAAAGAAAGCCACCUCCAUCAAAACAAUCCCAACCCUGAUUAUCUCCUCUGUCUACAUGGAUCAAACAAAGGGUAUAUCCAAGCAAUGGGCUGGCUGGAGAAUCUGGACAAUGAAGACAAAACAUAUGUAUAAUUUAUAGAAUUUUACUUCCUUUACAGCAGGUAUUUUUCUUUAUAUUGUAAAAUAAAACACAGGAGUAGGAAACCAUACUAAAAAUAUGUAGCCUAAAUUAUGAUACGGGAAAUAGUGGGUCUUUUAAAUUGCUUUAAUUUUUGGACUCAGCGCUCAUUUUGCCAAACUUGAACACAGUCUUGGAAA
rnacentral:lncRNA from 1 species